rnacentral:rRNA from 1 species
AUUAAUUUAAAUUUCAAACUAAAAGUAAGAUUUUCUGAAAAUUUAUACUAAGCCCAAUAAAAAUUAACCGUGAGGAUAAGUGAAAAUUAUUAAAACCUUAUUUUAAAAAAAGAAAUGUAUUUACAUAUACCUUUUGUAUUAUGGUUAACUAAAACAAAAGUAAAAUAAUACUAAGAACGAAAGCAAGUGAGCAAAUAGUUUCCUCAACUUGGUUGAACAUUUCUAGUUGUUGAAAAAGUAAGAAAAGAGAAGCUAUUAGAGGUAAUAAGCCAAACGAACUUGCAGAUAGCUUUUUCCCAAAGAAAGGGGUGCAAGCUCCACUCUAUUAUUAAAAGCAAUAAAUAGGCGGUUGACCGAGUAUUUAUUAAUGGAAAUAACCAGAAAAUUAAAGUAAAAUCAAAAAAAAUUUUUUUAAAGUUUAGAAGUAGAUUUUUAGCAAUCAUCUUCAAAGAAUGCGUUUGAGCACAAGAACAAAAAUAAACAAAAUCCAUGAAAAUAAAUUUUGAACUUAUCACAAAGUAUUUGGGUGUUCUAUCACACACGAAACAAUAAUGGUUAAAUUAGUAAAUAAAUUUCAGCUAAAAUAAUAAGAGUUAAAGUUAUAGUAAUUAAAUUAGCCUACUACUUAUAUGUUUACUUAUUUUAGUGAAAGAAAGAAUAAAAAAUUAUAGGAAGGAACUAGGCAAAUUCUAUUCCUCGCCUGUUUACCUAAAACAUUGCUUCCGGGAUAAACAAUCGAGAAGUACGACCUGCCCGGUGAUCUAAUUAAACGGCUGCAGUACUCUGACUGUGCAAAGGUAGCAUAAUCAUUUGCCUAGUAAUUUUAGGCUAGUAUCAACGGUUAGACGAAGGAAAAACUGUCUCCCUUUAAUUUAAUCGAAAUUAAUUUUAAGGUGAAGAAACCUUAAUGAAAAAGUGGGACGAGAAGACCCUAUUGAGCUUAAGUCUAAUUAAAAUUCCUAAGUUUUAAAAAGACUUUGAUUGGGGCAAUCCUUUUUAUAAUAAAACAAAAGUAAACUAAAAUGAAUUUAACUAUCAAGACCCUAAACUUUUAGAAAAAAGAAAAAGUUACCAUAGGGAUAACAGCGUUAUUUUUCUCGAGAGUACAUAUUGACAGAAAAGUUUGCGACCUCGAUGUUGGAUUAAGAUCCCCCGGAUGUGCAGCCGCCUCCAACGGUUGGUUUGUUCAACCAUAAAAAUCUUACGUGAUCUGAGUUCAGUCCGUCGCAAGACAGGACAGUUUCUAUCUACUACAAACCUUUAUCUUGUACGAAAGGACUUUUAAAGGGGGAACUAUUAAUAAUUAAAUUCUCUACUCAAA